ACUCCUACGGGAGGCAGCAGUGAGGAAUAUUGGACAAUGGGCGGGAGCCUGAUCCAGCCAUGCCGCGUGCAGGAAGACUGCCCUAUGGGUUGUAAACUGCUUUUUGUACAGAAAGAAACACUCCCUCGUGAGGGAGCUUGACGGUACUGUAAGAAUAAGGAUCGGCUAAACUCCGUGCCAGCAGCCGCGGUAAUACGGAGGAUCC
rnacentral:rRNA from 1 species